rnacentral:rRNA from 1 species
GACGAACGCUGGCGGCGUGCUUAACACAUGCAAGUCGAACGGAAAGGCCCUGCUUUUGUGGGGUGCUCGAGUGGCGAACGGGUGAGUAACACGUGAGUAACCUGCCCUUGACUUUGGGAUAACUUCAGGAAACUGGGGCUAAUACCGUAUAGUAGCUCCUGCUGCAUGGUGGGGGUUGGAAAGUUUCGGCGGUUGGGGAUGGACUCGCGGCUUAUCAGCUUGUUGGUGGGGUAGUGGCUUAGCAAGGCUUUGGCGGGUAGACGGCCUGAGAGGGAGACCGGCCACAUAGGGCCUGAGAGACGGCAAAGUAUCCUGAGAGAGGAAGAAGUAGGGCAGAUUGUAUAAUAGGCGGAAGGAUGAUGACGGCACGCCGAGAGUGAGAAAACGGCACUCGUGCUGUAACAGGCUUUCAACUGCGUAGAAGGGUACGUGACGGUAAUGGGUAAAGAAGCACCGACUAACUACGUG